GCUGACACAUCCCUGCCAAUCUCCGGCAGACCCUCCCUCCCAGACCCUCCUACUUCCUGGACUGCAUCCAUGUUGAAGCUUUAAUGCUGUCCAGGAAGUAGGAGGGUCUGGGAGAGAGGGUCUGCCGGAGAUUGGCAGGGAUGUGUCAG